rnacentral:rRNA from 1 species
AUAAACGCUGGCGGCGCACAUAAGACAUGCAAGUCGAACGGAAGUCGUUAUAAAAGGAGAGAAGAUUUGUCGGAUUGAAUUUUAUAACAAUGGCUUUAGUGGCGGACUGGUGAGUAACGCGUAAGGAACCUACCUAUUAGAGGGGAACAACAAUGAGAAAUCAUUGCUAAUACCGCAUAUGCCAUAACUACCGCAUGGUAGAAGUGGGAAAGGAGUAAUCCGCUGAUAGAUGGCCUUGCGUCUGAUUAGUUAGUUGGUGGGGUAACGGCCUACCAAGACGACGAUCAGUAGCCGGACUGAGAGGUUGAACGGCCACAUUGGGACUGAGAUACGGCCCAGACUCCUACGGGAGGCAGCAGUCGGGAAUAUUGCGCAAUGGAGGAAACUCUGACGCAGUGACGCCGCGUGCAGGAAGAAGGUUUUCGGAUUGUAAACUGCUUUAGACAGGGAAGAGAAAGGACAGUACCUGUAGAAUAAGCUCCGGCUAACUACGUGCCAGCAGCCGCGGUAAUACGUAGGGAGCGAGCGUUAUCCGGAUUUAUUGGGUGUAAAGGGUGCGUAGACGGGAAUACAAGUUAGUUGUGAAAUACCUCAGCUUAACUGAGGAACUGCAACUAAAACUAUAUUUCUUGAGUACAGGAGAGGUAAGUGGAAUUCCUAGUGUAGCGGUGAAAUGCGUAGAUAUUAGGAGGAACACCAGUGGCGAAGGCGACUUACUGGACUGAAACUGACGUUGAGGCACGAAAGUGUGGGGAGCAAACAGGAUUAGAUACCCUGGUAGUCCACGCGGUAAACGAUGAAUGCUAGGUGUCGGGUGACAAAGUCAUUCGGUGCCGCCGCAAACGCAUUAAGCAUUCCACCUGGGGAGUACGUUCGCAAGAAUGAAACUCAAAGGAAUUGACGGGGGCCCGCACAAGCGGUGGAGCAUGUGGUUUAAUUCGAAGCAACGCGAAGAACCUUACCAGGGCUUGACAUAUAGAUGAAUAUAUAAGAGAUUAUAUAGCUCUUCGGAGCAUCUAUACAGGUGGUGCAUGGUUGUCGUCAGCUCGUGUCGUGAGAUGUUGGGUUAAGUCCCGCAACGAGCGCAACCCCUGUUUCUAGUUGCCAGCACGUCAAGGUGGGAACUCUAGAAAGACUGCCGUAGAUAAUACGGAGGAAGGUGGGGAUGACGUCAAAUCAUCAUGCCCUUUAUGUCCUGGGCUACACACGUACUACAAUGGCUGUAACAGAGGGAAGCAAGCUAGUGAUAGCAAGCGAAACCCAAAAAGCAGUCACAGUUCGGAUUGAAGGCUGAAACUCGCCUUCAUGAAGCCGGAAUUGCUAGUAAUGGCAGGUCAGCAUACUGCCGUGAAUACGUUCCCGGGCCUUGUACACACCGCCCGUCACACCAUGAGAGUUGGGAAUACCCGAAGCCUGUGAGCCAACUAUUUAUAGAGGCAGCAGUCGAAGGUAGAAUCAAUGAUUGGGGUG